CCUACGGGAGGCAGCAGUGAGGAAUAGUGGUCAAUGGACGAGAGUCUGAACCAGCCAAGUAGCGUGAAGGAUGACUGCCCUAUGGGUUGUAAACUUCUGUUAUAAAGGAAUAAAACGAGGCACGUGUGCCUUUUUGCAUGUACUUUAUGAAUAAGGAUCGGCUAACUCCGUGCCAGCAGCCGCGGUAAUACGGAGGAUCCGAGCGUUAUCCGGAUUUAUUGGGGUUAAAGGGAGCGUAGAUGGGUUGUUAAGUCAGUGGUGAAAGUUUGCGGCUCAACCGUAAAAUUGCACUUGAUACUGGCAGUCUUGAGUACAGUUGCGGUCGGCGGAUUUCGUUGUGUAGCGG
rnacentral:rRNA from 1 species